ACCUCUCGUUCAAUACGAGUCGGAUUUUGGGUUUAAGGGUGCGUAGGCGGUGCGUUAAGUCAGUGGUGAAAUCUCUCGGCUCAACCGAGAAACUGCCAUUGAUACUGGCGCACUUGAGUACGGACGAGGUAGGCGGAAUUUAUGGUGUAGCGGUGAAAUGCAUAGAUACCAUAAAGAACACCAAUAGCUCCUCGCAGCUUACUAGACCGUAACUGACGCUCAGGCACGAAAGCGUGGGGAGCGAACAGGAUUAGAUACCAUGGUAGUCCCACGC
rnacentral:rRNA from 1 species